UUAUGGAAGAAGACGUGUAUGAAAGCUGACGUUCCCAGGACCCAUGAAAAUUACAAUGUAACCUAUGCCGUAUUUCACCUAUGCUGGAUUCUAGAGAUAAGACGAGUCAAAAGAAAAAAAAAAGAUGAGUAAGAUGCAAUUUUUGUGCCCAAAGCACUCACAGUCUCCUGAAGAAAAUGGACAUAAAAAAGAGAGCUCAUCACGUGAUUUCCUUGAAGGUGUUUGAAAGAGUAAUUAUAGCUUGAAGGACGCAAGAGUUUUACUACAAAAUAUGAUUCAGUAUGUAGACUUGGUCUUAUCCUUCUUUUAGUUAAACUUCACAAAAAUUGCAUUUGUCUGUGUUUUAAUGGUGCCUAGACGACUGCGUGACUAUGCGGUUGCUCCUUCCAAACACAACUGAUGUCAGCAUCCAGAGUAAGUCAAAUGUUCAUAUUUUACCAGCACAUUUCAUCGGCAAGACCCCAGAGGAAGUGCCAGGGCCUGGGUAUUGGCGGUUCCACGGGGGAAAUGAGAGAUGAGGUGUGGUUCCCCCAGCUUAGCGAAGCUCGCUUACUUAUGUUCUUCUGAGUUUUACUGAGGCUUCAGACAUGGAACAGACGCUUGGCUGCACUUUCUCUGUUCACAAAAUGUCUCGCUUACGUGAGAUUCAGCCCUUACUUUUUCAAUUACUGUGUCUGAAUGCUGUGACCGACAUAGUCAGAGGGCUCUCCUCAACCGAAAUCUUCCGUGGUAACGUUGGGCCCCCUUCCACAUUGUUUUUGUCAAUCGGAGAAGUUUUAUUUUUUUAACUAUUUUCCGUUUUACCUGCAGUAUCUUAUUCCACACAUAAGCUUUUUCCCCUAGGACAUUGGAAAGAGCACAGGCGCAGACACACCUGGAUGUGAAUCAGAAUUCUGUCACACAAGCUGCAUGGCCUUGGCCAACUCAUUUAAACUCAUUGCAUCUCGGCACCUUCAUCUACAAAAUGAGGAGCCCUGAGCGUGUGUUACAAACGUGCUGGAGGAAUUAGAAUGAUACAUGGUAGGCUUUAGGCCAGUACCCGGGAUAUACCGGAUGCUAAACAAGAGCCGCUGUUAUUAUUUGGCCGUAUUUUGCAAAUUAAGACACCGACACACAGGCACAUUAAUGACCUUGGCCAGCUUUGAGUGGCUAAGGGCAUCCAGGUAUUCCUGGAAAGUUGGAGCAGUGCAUCUGAUCAAGCCUUAUGAAGAGUGAAAUCGUAGGACACAAAGAAAGUGCAGAAGCAAAAGGGACAGAAAAAGUAUUACCAUCAAAGCAACCAUAUAAUCAGUAUAUAUUUAUCGAACACAUCGUAAGUAUAAGUUGUUCUGUGUACCAGUUGGGCCACUUUGGUUUGCAAAUGACUGAAUCCUGUCUUGCCCGCAUGAAAAGGAGAACCUGCUGGCUGGUAUAACCCAAACACAGAAUGGAGGGAACUGGGCCUGGGGACGUGUGGGUUCUGUGGCAGAAACACUUUCAGGGCUCAUACUCUAGUUCUAAUUAGUGUGUCUGGUGCUCUUGGCUGAUGGCUUUUUCCAUGCCAGAGGAAAUGUGGCUGCCAGCUACCGCGGUGUCUGUUUCAUCCUAGCAGCUUUUCUAUCAGCUAAGAAAGAUUUUUCCCCCUUUGGCCCCAGCCUGAAAAGCAAGCAUGACGACUCUGGUCACAUAUUCCUAUCCAGGCCAGUCAUAAGCAGGAAGAUUGGGGAUUGUGACUGGUCCAGCUGAAAGCACACAGCCACCUUUUCACUAGAAUUUUUCCCAUGGAAAGAGGUGCCGGGGCCUUUCUCUUUGAGAAGAGGUAAGGGGGUCGUGAAUGUCUCAGUGCGCCGUGCACCUGAACUAACACAACCUUGUAAGUCAACUCCACUCAAUAAAAUUAAACUUUAAAAAAAAUGGUAGAGUUGGUUGCAAAAGCCAAAAGACUGGACUCUCAGGAUGUCUGGCUAAGAUGCCGCAAGGCCUGAGCGAACACGGACAAGUCGUGUGGACUUGGCAGCUGAGAAAGGAAGCUCAUCGUACAUUCACCUCGCAGUGUGUCAGCUCAUGCGGUAAAAACUUAAACUGAUUUCUUAAUGUACAUACCUUCUAAUGGAGAAAGUUAUAAACACUUGGGAACUAUUACAGAAAGAGUAGAACCUCUAAAGAGGAUGGCUGGUGGUGAUCACUGCUGUUUGAAAAACCUCAGGAUGUCUCGUCCUGUGGGGACGCGUCUUUGUAACAGUGAGCUUGCCCUGUGUGCUUGCUGUGGAGUGGGCUGGGGUGGGAGCUCAAAGCAGGCUCAUACAUUGAGUUCGCAGUGGAGGGACUUCUCUCGUCAUCCUGGCUGAGGUCAUUUGGUGCCGAACUGCCUGCUCCUGGCUCCAGCACGUCAGCGUCCACUCCCCGCUGCCCAGUGUCAGAGAUCUGGGCGGCUCGUGACAGACCAGGGUCCGUGGUUUGUCUUCUUACACCAACCUCAUCACUGCCCCACUCGCUUCACACUUCUCCCGGCGGUUGGGACCCCAGUUCAAGAUUACCUUGAUUGCUUUCAGGUCUUGAGUCAUGAAUCCCUCUAAACUAUUUUUACCUCAAAACGUUCUUGUGUUUUCACCAACUCGUUUUUUCCCUCUUUGUUUCGCUGUUUCUUUUCCAAGGCUAAAUUCUUCCCUCCUCGCAGCCCUGGCAAACUAGCUCCAUCCUUUACUGCAUCUUCCGUCUGCAUCUCCAGCUCUUCCCGCCCCGCUCCCCGCGAGCCCCGCUCCCUGAGACGCCAGCGGCGCAGAGGGUGGGGCGCACGGUGGCCCCGAAAUGGGGCAGAAACGGAAUCGUAUGUCACCGCUACCCCAGCUUUCUCCCUCGUUCCACAAUCAUCUGGAAAGUGGGCAUAGGAACCUGGCAGGUGGACGACAGGGCUGGAAAGGAGACAUCGCCAUACAUCUUUCUCUGCUUCUGAUGCUCGAACUAUGUAAAUGCGCUCCCUCUUCAAGAAAUCAAAUACAUUUUAUUUUUAAAAUCA